GUCACCCCCUCUGCCUGCUGCAAUACAGCAGUAUGGCUACUUACCCAUAACUCGUGGGAGGGUGGGGAGGGCACACCUGAGAGGGAAGGCCAGGCUCAGGCCUCUCCCCUGACUCACUCUGGGUCUAAUCUGUCACCAGAUGCAAUCUGGGGCUUUGGCAACAACCAGCUUUUUGUUUCGGGCCCCAAUGGCACAGCUGGCAUCUUUGCUACCUACCCCUCUGGACACUUGGAUAUGACCAAUGGCUUCUUUGACCAGUUCAUAGGCACAGCCUCCCUUAUCGUGUGUGUGCUGGCCAUUGUUGACCCCUACAACAACCCCGUCCCCCGAGGCCUGGAGGCCUUCACCGUGGGCCUGGUGGUCCUGGUCAUUGGCACCUCCAUGGGCUUCAACUCUGGCUAUGCUGUCAACCCUGCCCGGGACUUUGGCCCCCGCCUUUUUACAGCCCUUGCGGGCUGGGGCUCUGGAGUCUUCACGACCGGCCGGCAUUGGUGGUGGGUGCCCAUCGUGUCCCCACUCCUGGGCUCCGUUGCGGGUGUCUUUGUGUACCAGCUGAUGAUCGGCUGCCACCUGGAGCAGCCCCCACCCUCCACCGAGCAAGAGAAUGUGAAGCUGGCCCAUGUGAAGCACAAGGAGCAGAUCUGAGUGGGCAGGGGCCAUCUCCCCACUCCGCUGCCCUGGCCUUGAGCAUCCACUGACUGUCCAAGGGCCACUCCCAAGAAGCCCCCUUCACGAUCCACCCUUUCAGGCUAAGAAGCUCCCUAUCUACCCUCACCCCACGAGACAGCCCCUUCAGGAUUUCCACUGGACCUUGCCCAAAUAGCACCUUAGGCCACUGCCCCUAAGCUGGGAUGGAACCGGAAUUUGGGUCAAUACAUCCUUUUGUCUCCCAAGGGAAGAAAAUGGGCAGCAGGUAUGUGUGUGUGUGUAUGUGUGUGCAAGUGUGUGUGUGUGUGUGUGUGUGUGUGUGUGUGGUUUCCCAGAUAUUCAGGACAAGGGACCAGUCGGAAGGGAUUCUGGCUGUUGGGGGAGCCCAGAGACAGGGAAAGGCAGUCUGUCCAUCUGUGCAUAAGGAGAGGAAAGUUCCAGGGUGUGUAUGUUUCAGGGCUUCACAUGGAGGAGCUGCAGGUAGAUAUGUGUUUCUGUGUAUGUGUAUGUCUGCCUUUUUUUCUAAGUGGGGGCUUCUACGGGCUUUUGGGAGGUAGGGUGGAUGUGGGUAGGGCUGGGAGGAGGGGGCCACAGCUCAGGUUUGGAGCUCUGGAUGUACAUACGUAAGUAGGAGCAGUGGGACAUGUUUCUGUCAUAAUGCAGGCAUGAAGGGUGGGGUGAAGUCAGGUCAUAAGUCUCAUGUUUGCUUUUGUUUUGUUUUGUUUUUAAUGUAUGUAGCAGAUGUUACAGUCUUAGGGAUCCGAGACGGGAGACCCCACUUUAGAAAGGGUCGUCACUCCUUUAAUCCUCUACUCAACAAUGUACUCUUUUAUCUUUUAUAUUAAAAA
rnacentral:sRNA from 1 species